rnacentral:rRNA from 1 species
AGCUCCAAUAGCGUAUAUUAAAGUUGUUGCAGUUAAAAAGCUCGUAGUCUGAACUUUUGGCCGGCAGCUUUUGAGCGUCCGGGGCCUUUGGUCUCGCUGCACGCUGACUGCCUUGGCCAGUUUCUGUACUUUUUCGGAGGAACGCGUGCGCUUUUUACUAAGUGCGCGGUUUUGGGAUUCCGAUAGUUUACUUUGAGAAAAAUAGAGUGUUCAAAGCAGGCGUUUGCCUUGAAUACAUUAGCAUGGGAUAAUGGAAUAGGACAUUGGUUCUAUUUUGAUGGUUUACGGACCGAUGUAAUGAUUAAUAGGGACAGUUGGGGACAUUCAUAUUCCAUGGCUAGAGGUGAAAUUCUUGGAUUCAUGGAAGAUGAACUACUGCGAAAGCAUUUGUCAAAGAUGU